rnacentral:lncRNA from 1 species
ACUAUUCGACCGCGCGGCCGGUGAUCAGGUUGGAACUUUGGAUCCAGACAAGACAUCCAGUCCAUGGCGACAUCGGCGGCUCACACGCCGCUCUCCCGGCGGUGGACUCGCCGCGCCCUCGCGCUGCUGCUGCUCAUCGUCGCUCUGGCGGUCGCCUUCUCCAGCGCUCACGCGGCCCGGCCCGUCCGGGAGGAUGCGCCCGUCUGGCCCCGCCCUAUACGCCUGCCGAUAAACCCCUAUCUGAACUCUUCCAUCGCCGGCGGCGAUGGACAGGGAUUUGUUCAUUGGCAUUGGAAAAGGGCAAUUCCAAUUGACAGUCCACCUUUGUAUACGUAUUUCUCAGACGUCGUAUAGGAGAUCAAGGACCGGCUAGCUCACGUGAUAGGUAGCGAUGCUGCCGCGCUUGUACUUCAUUUUCUUGUAACCCUUUGCUAUGUGGUCGAAGAGAUAAUCCUUGCAAGGAGAAACAAUUGUUGUAACCUCGCUGGUGUUUGCAAAGAAACUGAAACUGUUUUUUUAGAAAA